AUACUUUACCUGGUGCCGGGAUUCCCGUGAUCAGCGAGGCGGUGUCCCCAGGGAGAGGCGCGGGCAUUGCACUGCGCUCGUGCUGACCCCUGCCACUACCCCAAACUGGGCAGAUGGGGCAUGCAAUUUUGGUAGUGGGGGACUGCGUUCGCGCUAUCCCCCU
rnacentral:snRNA from 1 species